AGUGAACGCUGGCGGUAGGCCUAACACAUGCAAGUCGAACGGCAGCACAGUAAGAGCUUGCUCUUACGGGUGGCGAGUGGCGGACGGGUGAGGAAUACAUCGGAAUCUACUUUUUCGUGGGGGAUAACGUAGGGAAACUUACGCUAAUACCGCAUACGACCUACGGGUGAAAGCAGGGGAUCUUCGGACCUUGCGCGAUUGAAUGAGCCGAUGUCGGAUUAGCUAGUUGGCGGGGUAAAGGCCCACCAAGGCGACGAUCCGUAGCUGGUCUGAGAGGAUGAUCAGCCACACUGGAACUGAGACAAGGUCCCGACUCCCAAGGGAGGCAGCCGUGGGGAAUAUUGGACAAUGGGCGGAAGCCUGAUCCAGCCAUACCGCGUGGGUGAAGAAGGCCUUCGGGUUGUAAAGCCCUUUUGUUGGGAAAGAAAAGCAGCAGGUUAAUACCCCGCUGUUCUGACGGUACCCAAAGAAUAAGCACCGGCUAACUUCGUG
rnacentral:rRNA from 1 species